rnacentral:rRNA from 1 species
AAAUUGAAGAGUUUGAUCAUGGCUCAGAUUGAACGCUGGCGGCAGGCCUAACACAUGCAAGUCGAACGGUAACAGAAAGCAGCUUGCUGCUUUGCUGACGAGUGGCGGACGGGUGAGUAAUGUCUGGGAAACUGCCUGAUGGAGGGGGAUAACUACUGGAAACGGUAGCUAAUACCGCAUAAUGUCGCAAGACCAAAGAGGGGGACCUUCGGGCCUCUUGCCAUCGGAUGUGCCCAG